rnacentral:rRNA from 1 species
AGCGAACGCUGGCGGCAGGCUUAACACAUGCAAGUCGAGCGGGCACUUUCGGGUGUCAGCGGCGGACGGGUGAGUAACGCGUGGGAACGUGCCCUCUGGUUCGGAAUAACUCAUGGAAACUUGAGCUAAUACCGGAUACGCCCUUUUGGGGAAAGGCUUGCUGCCGGAGGAUCGGCCCGCGUCUGAUUAGCUAGUUGGUGAGGUAACGGCUCACCAAGGCGACGAUCAGUAGCUGGUCUGAGAGGAUGAUCAGCCACACUGGGACUGAGACACGGCCCAGACUCCUACGGGAGGCAGCAGUGGGGAAUAUUGGACAAUGGGCGCAAGCCUGAUCCAGCCAUGCCGCGUGAGUGAUGAAGGCCUUAGGGUUGUAAAGCUCUUUUAUCCGGGACGAUAAUGACGGUACCGGAGGAAUAAGCCCCGGCUAACUUCGUG